UGCCUGCUGUGGAAUCUCCAUCACAGCGACAGGUGCUUUGGAGGCCGGAGUGCAUGAGUACGGGCCCUGCACACGCUGAAUGUCACUGGGAACACAGACACACCCCGCUUCCAGGAGAAGAUAGAACACAUCGGCCCCUUUUAGCCAUCCCCAGUGCAGGACAUGUUGUUGACUUGCACGAGACAAAUACCUACUUGGAAAUCAGAUUUUUUCUGUACCUUUUGAAGGAGCAGGAAUUUCCCAGAAUUUCCUGGACAAAGACAGAGGCCACAUUCCCUGCAUCCUUUCCAGAAAGAUGUAAUUCUGAGAUUUUUGUCAUUCCUGGGCAUUAUCUUAUGAGGACUGCCAUGGGAGGAAAGUUUUCUUCUAAGCUGCAAGCCAGCUCUGGCUUCUGGAGUUUCUCCUUAGGAUUGCAAGACAGUAGUUCCCUGUCCUUUAGGUCUUCUCCAGAAAUACCUUAAAAUAGCAAAUAAAAUAAGAUAUAAGCAAACAAA
rnacentral:lncRNA from 1 species